rnacentral:piRNA from 1 species
UCCAUUGAUGAAGGCGACGUC